CGCGACCUCUGCUCUUAGUCUUAAUGACUCUCGGCAACGGAUAUCUCGGCUCUUGCAUCGAUGAAGAACGUAGCGAAAUGCGAUACUUGGUGUGAAUUGCAGAAUCCCGCGAACCAUCAAUUCUUUGAACGCAAGUUGCGCCCGACGCCAUCCGGCCGAGGGCACGCCUGCCUGGGUGU
rnacentral:rRNA from 1 species